rnacentral:snRNA from 1 species
GGAUGUGGGGGCAAUCUGGCUACAACAUCUAUCACCCCAUUGAUCUUCAGGGUUUGAUCCAGCUGAUCUGGCUGGCCAGGCAGGGGUCAUCUUCCUCCCUCACAGCUCCAGGUGCACACCUCCUGAAGGUGUGAAGGUACACCCUUGGUCCAAGGGAACAAACCUUCCCCAAUAGACGAAGACAGAUCUUGGUCAAGGGUAUAUGACUAGUGACACCUUCAAAGAAGCUCUCAAGUUCCAUUUGUAGGAGAAUGUAGGGUGGCCAAGCUUCCAAGACUCCAAACACAUCUUGGUGAGGUGCUGCAUGUGGCAGUCUGUCUUUCUUU